ACCUUCGUGGUGUAGUGGUCAGCACACUCGACGCAUAAUCGAGAGAUCCGUGGUUCGAUUCCCGGCAAAGGUU
rfam:Stegodyphus mimosarum contig170775, whole genome shotgun sequence.